GACGAACGCUGGCGGCGUGCUUAACACAUGCAAGUCGAACGGAAAGGCCCUGCUUUUGUGGGGUGCUCGAGUGGCGAACGGGUGAGUAACACGUGAGUAACCUGCCCUUGACUUUGGGAUAACUUCAGGAAACUGGGGCUAAUACCGGAUAGGAGCUCCUGCUGCAUGGUGGGGGUUGGAAAGUUUCGGCGGUUGGGGAUGGACUCGCGGCUUAUUAGCUUGUUGGUGGGGUAGUGGCUUACCAAGGCUUUGACGGGUAGCCGGCCUGAGAGGGUGACCGGCCACAUUGGGACUGGAAUACGGCCCAGACCCCUACGGGAGGCAGCAGGGGGGAAUAUUGCACAAUGGGCGGAGGCCUGAGGCGGCAACGCCGCGUGCGGGAUGACGGCCUUCGGGUUGUAAACCGCUUUCGCCUGUGACGAAGCGUGAGUGACGGUAAUGGGUAAAGAAGCACCGGCUAACUACGUG
rnacentral:rRNA from 1 species